rnacentral:sRNA from 1 species
GAGGCAACAUCUUUGGACGUAGAUGGUACUCUUACAGAUGGUGAUCGUGAAAACAAACGGAGGAGUUUGUUUGUUGUACUCGGUCUAGUU